UACGUAGGGUGCGAGCGUUGUCCGGAAUUAUUGGGCGUAAAGAGCUCGUAGGCGGCUUGUCGCGUCGGAUGUGAAAGCCCGGGGCUUAACUCCGGGUCUGCAUUCGAUACGGGCAGGCUGGAGUUCGGUAGGGGAGAUCGGAAUUCCUGGUGUAGCGGUGAAAUGCGCAGAUAUCAGGAGGAACACCGGUGGCGAAGGCGGGUCUCUGGGCCGAUACUGACGCUGAGGAGCGAAAGCGUGGGGAGCGAACAGG
rnacentral:rRNA from 1 species